CCCUCCCUUCUUCCCUCUCUCCCACCUUCCCUUCCUCCUGCUUCACUGCCUCGUACAGUCUCAAGCAAGUCACUGCUCAGAGUGAAGCCCAGGGCAUAGGCUCUGAGGUGUCAUAGGAACAUGGCCGGGGCUGCUCAGCAUCAAGUCAGAAUUGGUUCCUUCAGCAGAGUGGGAUAAUGGAAUCAUUCUUUGUAAAUAAAGACAUCGAAGACAGAGGUUAGAGCUGAAAAAUGUCACCUGAGGUCAGCUGGUCCCACUCUCCCAGAAUACAGAGAGGAGCAAGCCCUUGAUGCAAAGCUCCACAACCAGACUUGACUUUUGAAGACCUGCUUCUCAGUGUCUAGAGUCUGACUUGCCUGAGUUUUUCAAGUGCUUCCUCAGUGGCGCUCACAACAGUCCUGGGGUGUAGGCAAGAGAAUUUCUAGUUAUAGGGAAGCUGAGGCUGGCCAGUGUCCAAGGUCACAGGGCCACUUGAGGUAGAGCUGGUGCUAGAACUGAGAAGGAUCCAGACUUUCUUUCUUUGCUAUGUAACUUGGAGCUUGUCUUCCACAGCAGAAACAGUAGUAACUGUGUUAGGCCAAGACAGCCUCUGGCCUUCCCCCUCCCAGCCCCAAACAGUUAUUGCUGGAUAAGGGUUACCUCAGGAGCCCUCGUGUAUCUUCCUGACCCAGACAGUCCAUCCCUGACUAAGACAUUCUUUUUCCUGGCAGGAGUUUGGUUUUCCAUGGGUCACUCUUUUUAAUAAAUGUCCUCUUCUCACCCUCUGCCCCCAAGCUACCCUCAGUUCCCGACACCUUAGUUUAGAUGGGUGUGGCAGCCACUUGGUCCCCUUUCGUACAAGAGGCUUCAGGCAGCUGCCACACAAUGCUGUGUGGUCUGAUGUAGGAUAUGAAUAUUUUAGAUCUGAGUUGUUCUUAGAGACUGGAACAUGUAAUUGCCAGAGGCAUGUGGACUCUGGUUCCCCGGUGAUAGGGAUGGAUGUAAGAAAGAUGCAUUGAAAACAGGAAAGAUGAUGGGGUAGGGUGAGGACAUUAUUUGCAAAUUCCCAGCUUCUCCAGGGCUGGCGUUGGGAGAUGGUUGCUAGCCCCUCAGACAUAGGUCAGCCCCUCUUUGACCCAGAAACCCUUCUAUCUCAGGCCCCCCCUCCCAGCACUUGUUUCUUUAGUAGCAGCUGCAGUAGUAACUGGUCUCUGUAUGUGACCCCAAAGUUACCCCCAGUGAACUCACUCUACCCUUAGCUAAUGUUCCCAAGGCUUUGCUCUCUGUCAGGAGGCAUCACUGUAGGUGACAGGGGCCACCAGGGAACUGUCAAUACAAGACAACAGGGUGUUGAACUCAUCAACCAGCUGCAAAAAUGUCAGUCCCGUGUGGCACCCUAGGAGUGAGUGUAUGUGACCAACUGGCUGGCUAGACCUCAGCCCUCAGAGUGACACCUGAAGGAGUGGCCAAAGGUGGCUGGUGAGAGUCCAGAGAUGGACGACUGCUAUCAACUAUUACGCUGAUGGCUCCUUAGUUUGCCCAGAAGACACAAAAGGAGGGACCUUCAAUGCCAAGGUGUCAAAGGGAGAGUGUUGCUGAUUUAGAACCCAGGUCUCCUUGUUCUCCUUGGCUUCCACGUAGAACGCAUGCUUGGCCUUUCAGGUAUACAUCUACUGAAUGGCACAAAUGAAAAGUCAGAAUGCAUUGAGGACCACACGAGCUAUGUGUACUCAGGACACUGCGGCAGAGUGCACGACCUUACUGACCAGGGAGCUUCUAACAGAUGUGGAGGACAGGUAGGAACACUGCCUCGCCCAUCACGGAUGGGGGUAGACUCCAGAAGGAAAAGAGGAAGUUAGCCUGUACUGUAUUUGGCUUGUGGUUGUGGUCUGGCGAAAACUGUUGGUGCUUGCACAUGAGAUAAGCACAGAAACUCUGAGUGAAUGCUUAGAAGUCGUUACCGCAGUUUCCCACCAGGCCCAAGACACGGUCGUUUUUCUAGAGAUUCAUUUUGAUAACAUUUCACAAAAGCAUUUAUCCACAACUGAUCCUUCACCGCCGAGAGCUUGAGAUGCACACCCUGCAACUGCUCAGUGGUAUCUGUGGCACCCCUCUCCCCGCUUUGGUCAUUGCUGUUGUUAGGACUGUGACUCCCCAGGAAGAGGCCCAGAAGAAUCUGGGGGAAAUCCAGAUGUCCCCAGGAAGACAGGGCUGUGGAAGCUUGAGGACAGCAUGAAGCUAGGGGAACGUCCUGCUCCCGGAAUGUUCUCCCUGAAGAUAACCUCAGCAUCCCACAUUGCCUCUGCUCUCAGCACCCCCUGCUGUGGCUGAGGUCCUAUCCUUUCCGCUGCAGACUGAGCCUGGUUUUCUGGUUUUAGCUGCUCCCAGGCACGUCAAACGUCAAACGGAGACAUUUUUGUUAAACACUUACUCUGAUGAACUCAUUUGCUUUUUCCCAGUGGCCUUGUGAGAUACGCUCUAUUUUUAAUCUUCAAUCUUAAAACAAAAUAGAGAUGGCUUUUCAAAAUUCACUCUGUAAGUGGCAGGAGUGGAAGAGGGCUUCCAGACUGCCCAUUCCAGGCUCAGGAUCCAAACUAGCUUUUGACAUAUUGGCUGGCUCUACCUUCUAGGGCCUUCAAAUCUGGUUCGGUUGGUGAGACCUGGAGUCUUAGCCAUCUGACAGUCCUGACUGUACACCCAGGUGAAGGGCCAGACCCUUACCCAGCCCCCUGCUUUAGCAGUCAUGACAGGCUGCAGAAAAGACCCAACAAGACAAAGGCCCCUGACUCAGCAACGUGUGCUUGCCUGACUUUGCCAGACCUCCUAGUCACCAGGAACUCAGAUACCUCCAUGUGGCAAGGAACCAAUCAGAAGUUAGCUGGCGGACUCUAGGCAUGCUUUACGGUAAAAGUGGGUAACAGUGGUAUGCAGAGCAUAGGAACCACCCUGAGAGGGCUUAUAGGUCAUAGCAACCAGCUGACCAAUCAACACAGGACAUGUUGCCCAACCCUGGAAGUGCACCAAUCCUGAGACUGUUGUGGACUUCAGACACUCCCCUUACACACCCCAAUAAAUUCCCUGCCUUGUGGUUUCCCCAGGUCCUUCUCUCCACCUGCCGUGAUGAACGGGACAAAAGGCAGUUAACUCGUUAAUAAUAAAAGAUUCUUUGCUUUUGCAUUA